rnacentral:tRNA from 1 species
UCCCUGGUGGCUUAAAUGGUAAAGCAUCUGCCUGCAAUGUAGGAUACCCGGGUUCAAUCCCUGGGUUGGGAA